AGUCAACUUAUCUCAAGUCUGAAUAGUGAAUGUGGUUAAAUGUAGUAGAGUUAAAAUGGUUAUUCCAUCAAAUUUCAAAUUAUUAGAAUAGUACACAAUGCAGAACAGAACAACCAGGUUGAGGGUCAGUGAACAAAGCCCGCAAACAGGAAUAUUCCAAGUUCAGACAGAAGGGGGGAGUCAGAUCGCUAUGAUCACCAGGAACUUUACUUUUGGUGUCUAUUUUUAAUUGUUGCGCUACUGGUGCUGCCUGUUGAAGUUAGGUAGGGAACUACAGUAGCUGAAUGAUGUUAACAUCUUCGGGUUUUGUUUCAUUAAAUGUAUUUUAUUUCAUCUGGGUGCUUGCGUCACCUACUAACACCCUGGUACUACCCGUUGCUCCCGUUCUCCUGGAGCCCAAAACACAGAGAGAAAGAACAACUUGUCAGAUGAUGCAUUGGAGACUGAUGUUUUCCUGUCCUGUCUUUUCACAAUACUAUUGCAGAUCAACAUAAAAGCCUAAAAGACAGCCGUGGUGUCGCUCUUCAUUUCUUGGUCAGAGACUGUUACGUUGAUGCUGUUGACACCGGAUCACUGGUUGCUGCGGAAAAAGGAGGAGGUCAAAAGGGGGGUGAAAAAAGAAGCGGAUCAACAGAUCAGCUGCAGCAGAUCGCCGGGGGACCCCUACACAGAACUGGAUCAACAUCACACGUUUAGAACAUUUGAGGGCAAGGUGAACUUUGGACAAUAUGUUGCGUACACCUCAGUUGUAUGAGAUUACAGAACAGGAGAGAGAAGACAUAUCAGGUGUUGGUGAUAACAAUGUACAUGUUACUCCGGUUGGUGUUACUGUGAGAGGUCCACAAGGUAUUGCCACUGGGGUGGGGCGGGGGGCUCAGUUGGCCAGUAUGGUGGAACAUAGUGCUAGAGCCAGUCCUCUUAGAUACCCAGCAGUCGAUACUAGAGUGCCAAGUGUUAUCAGUAGCCAACCAGAGCAUGUUAGCAGUAGCCAAUCAGGUAAGGAUAACAGUGAAGAGUCCCAGAAAGCCUAGUAGGGGGUGAAAAUGAAAACCGAACCCAAUUGCAAGCCAUAGCAGAGUUAGUCAAACAACUGGGCAGUGAAAUAGGAAAUCAAUUGCCGCUAGUCUAGCAGGGGCUGGUGCAAGCACUCCCCCUCCCCAACCAAUAGUUGAAAUACCUGAUUGGUCAAAGGUCAACCUAAUUCUGAAGUCAGACGUCAGAGAACCACCCCACUUCCGGGGUGAUCGCACAGACCGGUGCACAGUGACUGAAUGGCAAGAACUUAUGCAAGCUUACUUGAAAAAGAAGGGAUGCAGUAUAUCAGAACAGGGGCAAGAGAUACAGGAUAGACAUUUGGGGCGGGCUAAAGACAUAGUCAGAAUUGGGCUCCGUGGAAACCCUCUCGUUAACAUAAGCAGAGACCCUGAAGCCAUAUACAAUAUCUUGAGGCAGCACUUUGGAGAAGCAAUCUCAUCCACAAUUGCAUUAGGAUACUUCUAUGAAACCUUUCCAAGACAGUCGGAGAGCUGCUUGGAUUAUUGGGUUAGACUGAACAAAGCAAUUGACCUUGCCAAUGAAUGCUUGCAAAGACAGGGAAAAAGAGUGGAUGAUCCAGGUCAUGAGGUGACCAUGAUGUUUGUUAAGCACUGCCCUGAUCCAGCACUGCAUGCCACUCUUAGGUGCAUGCCUAUUGAAAAUUGGACCGUUGGGAGAUUUGCAGGCAAUGAUUGACAGCCAUCACAGAGACAAACAGUCAGCCAGACACAGGGCGCAAAGUACUGCCAAGGUAGAAGUUGUGAUGACCCCCAAUGCUUGAUGUAUGACUCAACCAGAAGCAGUCGGUCAAGAUAAUUCAGCCACGCCCACUAACAGUGAUCAGGCUCCAUUGAACAAAGUGAUUUCUCUCCUGGAAAAGCUCCUGUCAACCCAGGAACAGAAUCAAAGGAGAACUUCGGCCAGAACGCCACAAACUAAUACAGCUGCUGGUCCCUGUAGAAUUUGUAAGGCCUCAGACCAUUCAACUCAGUCACACUGCCUUAAGGAGGGCUUAUGCUUCAAGUGUCACAGGACAGGCCACAGAGGCUUUGAAUGUCCAGCAAGAAAACAAGUUGGAGAGGCAACUGCCGAGGCUCCCCCUGGGCCCGCUAAACUAACAUGCUCACUCCAAGAGGGGGGCAGUGUGGGCGAACAUGUUACACCCCCGCAGAACAUCACGGAUAUAAGGACUGGAAACACAAUGAAAACCGAGGCGAUUUAUCCGAAAAUAGAGAGUAUUGACAGUCUUUUCUAUGAUCCAGUAAUGGUGCAAGAAAUUGUAGAACUUCAAGCUCUGAUAGAUAGUGGGUCUAUGACCUGUUCGUUGAGUGAGUCAGCUGAAGACACACUUCUGAGAUGUAAUGUAAUGAGUCUAGAAAGCCAACUCAAGUAGUUCUUGUAGGCUGCGGGGGCAACCAGGCACAGCCUAAGUAUGAAUAUGACUUGAACAUUGAUCUUUUAGAUUGCAAGAUGGCAGUGUCUGUUUUAGUUGUACCUGGACAGACAGACAAUAUGAUAGUUGGAUCGAACGCCAUAAAACACAUAAUGCAACGGGUUAAGAAAACAAAGUGGUAUUGGGACAGCCUCUCCAAACCUGCCAAAGGAGAUUCACAUGGACUUUUACUCAGCAUGCUAGCCAACGUGAACCGCUGGCACGGUGACAAAAUACCAGACAAAGUGGGAACUGUAAUGCUCAAGCAGAGUGUGACUCUCAUGUCUCAACAUGAACAUUUGGUCUGGGGAAAACUGAAAGAAAAGGUGCCGCUAUCAGUUGCUAGUACUGUAGUCAUAGAGGCCACUACAGCACGAUCUGCACCAAGAAGUGUACUAGUAGGACGCACUGUAUGUCCUUUGAGGGGUGACAAGUGGGUCCCCAUGAAAGGGAUCAACAUGUUGGACCACCCUAUUGUUCUCCAAGUUGGCUGAUGUUCACCCAUGCCUAGCCCUAGAAGACCUAGAGCUCUAUUCCAGCCAUGCUGAGAACCCCAGUAAGGUCCAGUCUGCUCUUCAGAAUGUCACCCAAGCUGGGAAAGAAUGUUCAGUUAGUGGAAAAGGGACAAAGGAGUAUCUACAAAAGUUGGAAGAGUUGGGCUUAACAGAAGAUGACAGAGUCCUGUGAAGUGUCUGAUAUGUGGAAAGGAAAACUAGUGGGCCUUAUUGCUCAGUAUGAAGGCAUCUUCUCCAGGGACCGACUUGACUGUGGAGAAGCAAAGAACGUCAUCCACCGUAUCCGACUCAAAGAUGAAAAGCCUUUCAGCCUGCCGUACAGGAGGGUCUCUCCAUCCGACUACCAGAAACUGAAGCAGACGUUGGAGGUAAUGGAGGAGUGGGGAAUCAUCCGAAAGUCCAGUAGUGAGUGGGCCUCCCCCUUGUCCUGGUUUGGAAGUGAUUUCAGAUGGUUGAACCAAAGGACACCGUAAAGAUGCAUACCCAUUGCCCCAUCAAGCCGAUGCUCUCGCUGAUUUUGGAGGGAACUGCUUCUUCAGUACUAUGGAUUUGACUUCGGGAUUCUACAACAUCCCCAUACAUGAAGCUGACCGCAAUUACACAGCGUGCACAACACCCACAGGUUCAUUUGAGUACAACAGAAUGGCUCAGGGGUUAUGUAACAGCCCAGCAACAUUCGCCAGAAUGAUGACCUCGAUCUUCGGCGAUCAGAACUACUUGUCCCUCCUGUGCUACUUGGAUGAUCUCCUGGUUUUCGGGAAGAGUGAGCAGGAAGCCCUGGACCGUCUUGAAAUGGUGUUCUCCCGCCUUAAGGAACACAACCUGAAGCUAGCUCAAAAAAAAUGUUACCUCAGAAAAUCUGUCAAGGUUUUAGGCCAUUUUCCAUCAGGUCAGCUGCUGUGAUGUCGUUGAUUGCAGACACUUUUCCUGGGUCGGUUGCAAUGCCCUCUGCCGUGACGAUAUGGCCUAAAAACUUGACAGAUUUUCAGAGGAGGUAACAUUUUUUUUGAGCUAGCUUCAGGUUCUGCCUGUUUAUUGCAAUCCACCACAUGAGUGCACAAAAACUCAGUAGGGUAGUUAUUGGUUUUGUAACACCAUUGCUUAAAAACCUAAGCCCUCCAGUUUGGUUCUAGUCUUCAGAGGAUUGUUAUAAUUGAGUUUCUCAUAAUUACUAAGGAGCUAAUGCAUCUUAAAUGGCCUCUAAAUCAAGGGUAAAUAUUAUUUUGGACACCUUCCACCUAUACUGAUUGUGUGCUUUGGGCUUGAAGGAGCUCCCUUAUUACUAUGUAUAAGAGAUUGGUAUUUGUGUGUGAGUGUGUGUGUGUGUGUGUGUUACCAUGUUUGUUUUACCGUGUAUGUGUUUAUUAGUGUUCUUGUUUCAGUGCACAUGUCUACUGUUGAUGUGUGUUGUUGGCAAGAGCGAAACCGACAGAGAAAACCAGACAGCUACUUGCAAGAGAAUAAAGGAUGAAUAAAACAAGAGACAAAGAAGGAGGAGAAAUGACAUAUCCCGUGAGAUCGCUCCCCCUCCCUCUCUCUCUCCCUUCCUCCCUCCCAAUUUGUCUCUCCCUCCUUCGCUUUCUACUGUACAUUGAAUCCUUCCCUCCUUCACUCCCAUCCCAAGUCUGUCCAGGACUACCGCUCUAAUCCGGGAGUAUGCCAAGGGGAACAACCAGGCCUGCUGGUCUGCUUUUAUUCUCCAUAUUACAACCGGGCCUGCUGGCCUACUCUGCCUACUCAGAAGCCAUGAGCGUGCUGGGAAACAUAGGCUUUCCACCUGGCAUACAGGUUGACACUCUUCUCCUUCUCUCCCAACACAUGAAUGAAUUGGAGGCUGAUUUGCCCCGAGGAGAAACAGUGAGGAGACAGCAAGUUUGUGUUGCAAAUGGCACCCUAUUCCCUAUGUAGUGCACUACAUUUGACCAGGGCCCAUAGGACUUGGUCAAAAGUAGUGUAUUACAUAGGGAAUAGGGUGCCAUUUGUGACAAAGUUCCCAGUAUAUCUCCAGGGGCGACUCCCUGUAUGCUCUCCCACAUGAAAGAUACAAACUCUGUAUGUGUACGUGCACAUGAACAACUACAUAUACCACGUUGCAGGUGUACCAUAGCCACAACCCAUAGCCAGUUGCAAUAAGCUAACAGAGAGCUUUACCUAGAUCCACAGAUGCCAAACAGUCUUCCUCCCCUUGGCCAGCUAAACAAUAUUUUUUUUGUCAUUUUUAUCUCUUGCUAAUUAAUCCCCUACUUAUUGAAAGAAGUCAGAGUAGGAUUACCCCAUGUAAACAGGAAGUGAGUUGGACUAGAACAGCUGGGUCCAUUUUAGCAGGUCCUCUUCUCCUCACUCCUCCUCCCCCUAUCCUCUCCUACUAUGUGAAACGCAACUGCCCGUAUCCGAUGCCCAGGGUCUGGGAGUGACGAGAGCGAUGAGAGUAUCAAGAGCGACGAGAGCGAUAACAGCCUGUGUUAACUGCGUACAAUGUUGGGCGAUGAAACAACGGAAGCCACUAAUUUUCAAUUGAAGAAGCGAAGUGGGCAGGAGACCAUUGGACAAUGCGAGCAUGGGCAAGGGAUCGUGAAAAGGGUGUGAGCUGAACGUUAUGCAAAUACUCAGCAUGAUUGACCAAUCUAAGUUCACUAUAGCUUCCAAACCCUACUUGGCUAUUGAUACCUACCUGUCGGCUUGAUAGCAACAACAUGGUGAGCCACUCUGGACGAAGCAUGGCUAGGCAAUGCAAGAGCCACGAAAGUGAAAAGAGCGAUAAGAGUGACAAGAGCGACGGGAGCAUGAUGCUGUCUUCGUGGCCUUCUCUCUUUGCGCGCUGUCAUGUCUUCUUAUUCAUUUGGAUUCGAAGCCCCCUCUCUCUCUUGCCUGUUGUGAAAUUGCUCUCUGGAGACAAGGGUCUCCGAGAUUAAAUCAGGUGUUGUUCUAUUUUUCCUGUCAAGCUGCUUUAGAUUGUAGAAUUCGCCCGGCGGAGGGAUUGCAUUGACUCAAGCAGAGAUCUCUGUUGAUGUGCCAGGUUUGACAAAUAGCCUUUGGUCAAGAGGCAACAGCAGUGUAUUAUAUGAGUUUGUUUCAAACAGUAAGAAGUUUAUUUUGUUACUUUCAUUGUUUUGUUUGUCACCUAUGCUCUCUAUCGCCCACACCUCUGUUUAUUGAGAAUAACAAUUGUAUGUUCGUGUGUUUAUGUGUUAUUAUUAUUAUUACUACUGCUACACGCUAUUGGUGUAUGCUGAGCCCAACUGACAGCCAUGCAACACGGUCAAGCAUCUUGUGUAUGUGUGGGGUGAGUGAAGGGGUGUGAGUGUGUGGUGGGUUUUGUGUGUGUGUGUGUGUGUGUGCGCGCGGCCAAGACAUUAUACAAACACACAUACACACCACUAUUCUAGCCACAACAAGCUGUCAGAGCCCUUACGUCUCUCUGCAGUCUCUUUUAAUUAGAUCUUAAUUGCCUGAUUAACUCUGUCCAUCGAUGAGAGAGGGGAGACAGAGAGGGAGAGCAAAAACAGCUGAGGAAUCGAGAGAGCGAGGCGGAGCGAUGGAGGAUGUAUAGAGACAUACGUACAUAGACAAUUCAACUUCAAAGAGUGGGUCAGUUCCAAAAGGAGUGAGAAGUCUAGGGCCAUAAUAAAGCAUAACGCGGUUAAAGAUAUGACCGCUGUUUCCAUGAUGGAUACCCUGGAAUUCCAUCCAUGUUAACCUCUGACCCCUAGCCUCAGGAUGCCAUUUUGGUUGUACAGUACAUGAUGAAACACAUCAUUACUCAGUUGUUUUUGCUCUGGCCUCAAUUGUAGUAUUACACACACACACACUAAACCCCCCCACACACUCACACCCCUCCACUCACCCCACACACACACAAGAUGUUUGACCCUGUUGCUUAACUGUCAGUUGGGCUCAACGUACACCAAUAGUGUGUAGUAGUAGUAAUAAUAAUAAAAUUGGUUGGUUGGUGUUUAUAUUUGUCCUGUUAGUUAUUUAGCAAAUUCCAACUCCCCCUGACACACCCUCAGAGAGUGGGGUCACAGCCAGGGUCAGCCAUUAUCAACGGCGACCCUGGAGCAAUUAGGGUUAAGUGCCUUGCUCAAGGGUACAUCAACUGAUUUGUCAGCCUUGUCAGCUCUGGGAUUCAAACUAGCAACCGUUGUUGUUACUGGCCCAAUACUCUAACCGCUAGGCUACAUUCCACCCUAUUCAUGCAGUUCCCUGUGUGAAUGUGAAUGUGAGCCAACAGAUCCAGCUGUGCCAUCCAGCCAUGAGAGACCAAGUAAUCCCCACUUUAUUUUGAUCUCUCUUUUGAACGUUUUCAAUGAAAGGCCUUCAAAAGAAGACAUCUAAUUGAUAGAUGCUACUAAGUGCAGGCCUAGAGCAUAGGUCUCUGUUUUCUUAGUGUUUUGUCAGUACAGGUAAGAUAUAUUUUCUUAUUUAAAAUGUAUUAAGUUCUGUCCUUGAGAUGUUCUUGUCUGUUAAUAUUGUAUAUUAGGUCAUGUUUUAUGUUUUGCGUGGACCCCAGGAAGAGUAGCUGCUGCAAUAGCAACAGCUAAUGUGGAUCUGAAUAAAAUA